rnacentral:rRNA from 1 species
UACGUAGGGUGCAAGCGUUAAUCGGAAUUACUGGGCGUAAAGCGUGCGCAGGCGGUUUUGUAAGUCUGUCGUGAAAUCCCCGGGCUCAACCUGGGAAUGGCGAUGGAGACUGCAAGGCUAGAAUCUGGCAGAGGGGGGUAGAAUUCCACGUGUAGCAGUGAAAUGCGUAGAUAUGUGGAGGAACACCGAUGGCGAAGGCAGCCCCCUGGGCUAAGAUUGACGCUCAUGCACGAAAAGCGUGGGGGAGCAAACAGG